rnacentral:rRNA from 1 species
AAUAUUGGACAAUGGGGGCAACCCUAAUCCAGCCAUGCCGCGUGUGUGAAGAAGGUCUUCGGAUUGUAAAGCACUUUAAGUUGGGAGGAAGGGCUUUAGGUUAAUACCAUGCAGUUUUGCUGUUACGAACAGAAUAAGAACCGCCCAACCCUAUGCCAGCAGCCGCGGUAAUGCAGAGGGUGCAAGCGUUAAUAGGAAUUACUGGGCGUAAAGCCGGCGUAGGUGGGUCAGUAAGGUUGGUGUGAAACCCCCGGGCUUAACCUGGGAACUGCUUUCAUAACUGCUGAGCUAGAGUACGGUAGAGGGUAGUGGAAUUUCCUGUGUAGCGGUGAAAUGCGUAGAUAUAGGAAGGAACACUAGUGGCGAAGGCGACUACCUGGACUGAUACUGACUCUGAGGUGCGAAAGCGUGGGGAGCAAAC